rnacentral:rRNA from 1 species
AGAGUUUGAUCCUGGCUCAGGACGAACGCUGGCGGCGUGGAUUAGGCAUGCAAGUCGAGCGACGGACCUUCGGGUUACGGAGCGGCGAACGGGUGAGUAACACGUGAACAACCUACCCCUUCAUUCCGGAUAAUUGGAAGAAAUUCCUUGUAAUACGGGGGAGGAUCCAACUGAGGCAUCUCAGAUGUAUCGAACAGGCAACUGGUGCAGGGACGGGUUCGCGGAUUAUCAGGUAGUUGGUGGGGUAACGGCCUACCAAGCCUACGACGAUUAGCUGGUCUGAGAGGAUGGUCAGCCACAUUGGAACUGAGACACUGUCCAGACUCCUACGGGAGGCUGCAGUCGAGAAUCUUGGGCAAUGCACGAAAGUGUGACCCAGCGACGCCGCGUGGAGGAUGAAGGCCCUCUGGGUUGUAAACUCCUUUUACGGGAGAAGAAUAAAUGACGGUAUCCCGUGAAUAAGCCACGGCUAACUACGUGCCAGCAGCCGCGGUAAUACGUAGGUGGCAAGCGUUGUCCGGAUUUACUGGGCGUAAAGCGCGCGCAGGCGGACUGUUAAGUAGAAAGUGAAAGGUUGGGGCUCAACCCCAACAUUGCUUUCUAUACUGGCAGUCUUGAGUCCCGGAGGGGAGAGCGGAACAAGUUGUGUAGCGGUGAAAUGCGUUGAUAUAACUUGGAACACCAAUGGCGAAGGCAGCUCUCUGGACGGGUACUGACGCUCAGGCGCGAAAGCCGAGGUAGCGAACAGGAUUAGAUACCCCGGUAGUCC